UCCAUAGAUGGCGCAAUGGUAGCGCGCGAGACUUCUAUCUUGAACACUCAAGUUUGCUAUCUCGAGGCUGUGGGUUCGAGUCCCACUUGGAG